rnacentral:rRNA from 1 species
GACGAACGCUGGCGGCGUGCCUAACACAUGCAAGUAGAACGCAGUUGCGAACGGGUGAGUAACGCGUAGGUAACUGCCCCAUAGCGGGGGAUAACUAUUGGAAACGAUAGCUAAUACCGCAUAGUGUGAGAUCUACCUGCGUUGUAUUAGGUAGGUGGUGAGGUAAAGGCCCACCAGGGCGGCGAUACGUAGCCGAGCUGGGAGGGGGGUCCGCCACACCGGGAAUGAGGCACGGCCCAGACUGCUAAGGGAGGCAGCAGUAGGGAAUCUUCGGCAAUGGGCGGAAGUCUGACCGAGCAACGGCGGGUGAGUGAAGAAGGUUUUCGGGUCGUUAAGGUUUGUUGUGAGAGAAGCGGUACCUAACCAGAAAGGGACGGCUAACUACGUGCCAGCAGCCGCGGUAAUUC